rnacentral:misc_RNA from 1 species
AAAGUCGUAACAAGGUUUCCGUAGGUGAACCUGCGGAAGGAUCAUUAAUGAAAUGCAAGGACGUUCUUUUAGAGGUCCGACCCAAAUCAUUUCCUUUACACUGUGCACAUACGCUAUUCACACCAUUUUUUAUACGCAAUAGUCUAAGAAUGUAAAACUUCAGUCUCGAAAAGAGCAAUAAAGUAAUAAAA